rnacentral:rRNA from 1 species
GACGAACGCUGGCGGCGUGCUUAACACAUGCAAGUCGAACGGGCUCUGUCUGGCUGUGUGCUGGGUGGGGUUAGUGGCGAACGGGUGAGUAAUACGUGAGUAACCUGCCCUCUUCUUUGGGAUAAGCCUUGGAAACGGGGUCUAAUACUGGAUAUUCCUGUCUGGUCGCAUGGCUGGGUGGGGAAAGUUUUUUUCGGUGGGGGAUGGGCUCGCGGCCUCUCCGGUUGUUGGUGGGGUGAUGGCCUACCAAGGCGUCGACGGGUAGCCGGCCUGCGAGGGUGAACGGCCAAACUGAGACUGGGAUACGGCCCAGACUCGUACGGGAGGCAGCAGUGGGGGAUAUUGCACAAUGGGCGCAAGCCUGAUGCAGCGACGCCGCGUGGGGGAUGACGGCUUUCGGGUUGUAAACCUCUUUCGUCGGGGGACAAGGCUCUGCUUGGUGGUGGGGUUGAGGGUACCCGGUGAAGAAGCGCCGGCUAACUACGUG